rnacentral:tRNA from 1 species
UAGCUUAGUCGGUAAAGAAUCUGCCUGCAAUGCAGGAGACCUGGGUUCGAUUCCUGG